GGACCCGCACAAGCGGUGGAGUAUGUGGUUUAAUUCGAUGCAACGCGAAAAACCUUACCAAGGUUUGAAAUCAUUCUAAAACUCUUUGAAAGAAGAGCCUCCUUCGGGAUAGAAUGACAGGUGGUGCAUGGCUGUCGUCAGCUCGUGUUGUGAAAUGUCAAGUUAAGUCUUGUAACGAGCGCAACCCAUGUCUUUUGUUGCUGUUUACAGUGCUUAAAAGAGACUGCCGCUCUACAGCGGAGGAAGGUGUGGAUGAUGUCAAGUCAGCAUGCCCCUUAUAUCUUGGGCUACACACGUACUACAAUGGUAGGGACAAUGAGUCGCAAACCUGCGAAGGCUAGCCAAUCUCAAAAACCCUAUCUCAGUUCGGAUUGUACUCUGCAACUCGAGUGCAUGAAGGUGGAAUCGCUAGUAAUCGC
rnacentral:rRNA from 1 species